GUGUCAGCAGCCGCGGUAAUACGGAGGGUGCAAGCGUUAUCCGGAUUCACUGGGUUUAAAGGGUGCGUAGGCGGGCAUGUAAGUCAGCGGUGAAAUCCCCGAGCUUAACUUGGGAACUGCCGUUGAUACUAUUUGUCUUGAAUGUCGUGGAGGUUAGCGGAAUAUGUCAUGUAGCGGUGAAAUGCUUAGAUAUGACAUAGAACACCCAUUGCGAAGGCAGCUAACUACGCGACUAUUGACGCUGAGGCACGAAAGCGUGGGGAUCAAACAGGAUUAGAAACCCUGGUAGUCC
rnacentral:rRNA from 1 species